rnacentral:rRNA from 1 species
UACGAAGGACCCGAGCGUUAUCCGGAUUUAUUGGGUUUAAAGGGUGCGUAGGCGUCCUGGAAAGUUACGGUUGAAAUCUCCUUGCUCAACAAGGAAACUGGCCGUAAAACUAUCAGGAUUGAGUACAUUUGAAGCGGGCGGAACGUGUCAUGUAGCGGUGAAAUGCUUAGAUAUGACACAGAACACCAAUUGCGAAGGCAGCUCGCUAAACUGUAACUGACGCUGAGGCACGAAAGCGUGGGGAUCAAACAGG